rnacentral:lncRNA from 1 species
AGCCAUGGAGUUUUGCCCCCUGCUUUAUUGCUCCCAAGCAGGUUCCUCACCUGCCGAGCGCCUGCGGCUGUGUGCCAAAGGCUGAGUGCGCCACAGCGAGGAGCAGCUGCCAGACCUGGAGUGAGCAGAGGGAGAAACUGGACUUCAGAAUAAUCAGAGCUGGAUGCUAAUCUCAGGUCCCACCUGCACUAGCUGUGUGGUCUCGGGAGAGUCUUACGGGUGGGAAGGACCAGGGCCUUGUGGGCUGAGAGGCUUGGGGAAGCCAGGGGGAGCCAGGUCCCCUCACUGCUCUCGAAGAACCGGCAGUGGUGUUGGAACUCCCAGAGCUGGAGAGGCUCAGGCCGGGAAGGGCUGUCCUGACCUGCGGGCCAUCAUGGCCUUUCGGGGAGGGAGGGAGGAGAUGAAGAGGUGGCACAGAAUUGACAAAGGAAAGGCAGGAAUGAAAAGGAAGGUGGGGGAAUGUGGAAGGCAAAAUGAGAAGUCUCUCCGGGUGGCUGAUGUCACCCUUUCUGAUUGCUCGAGGUGCCAGCAGGGGCACCUUGGCAAGGUGUCCCCUCUCCCAGGAGGCUGAGACCAGGAUCUGAUCCAAGCUGGGCCACCUGGAGAGAGUGGCCUGAACUAGUCUCCAUCAUGCUCUGGGCCUGGGUUUCUGCAUUUGUAAAAUGAGAGGAAUGUGCUGGAUCAGAUACAAUCUCCUCUCCCACCAGGCCCACCCCACACUCGGCAGGAAAGCAAGGACUGGGGCCCCAACAGCUGUCCUUGAGAGUGGGAGCCGCUGAGGGCACAGGAAGGAGUUUUGGGGGCGGCAGGCAGGGAAGCAAGCAGGAUGGGAACGCCAGGCUCUCAGGGGAAGGAACCAGAUAAAUCAUCAGCAAGGAAAACCUAUAGGUUUCCCCAAAGUACAAUUUGAAUAGAAAUGUCAAAUGCACCUGGAGUUAUUACACCCUGUAAUCCUAAUGACAUAUAAUCCUAUACACCAACAGGAUAAUAUCACGAGUGUGUGUGGCAACACUGCCGCAUGUUAAUCCUGCCUGCCUCCUGGGAUGAUCUUUCUCAUCCCAGCAGAGCCUACAGAGCCUCCUUUGUUCUUCCCAGAAGUGGCCUCAUCGGGCUGGACCUGGGGGAGGUGACCAAGGAAGUGAAAAUCAAAGAGCCCAAGGAAUGAAGCUGGCAUGGCGCUAGUCAGGGGAUGGACAGGAUCUAUGCUCUGUUCUGCCAGGAGCACUCUCGGAGAUAUGGUUCGUCCUCUUGAGAGGGAAAGCCUCCUGGGACUCGCGUGCACCCGUCCUGUCCAGCUGCGCUCCUUAGUUGCGGGCCCUGGAGCCAGGGAAGGUGGGAGUGGACUUUCGCCUGAGGCAGCAGCUGCGUGGUUAGUGGUCUGUGGCCAGGGGGGCAUUUCAAGGUAGGGCACAGAACUUCCAGGCCAGUGCACCAGCCCAAAAUAGAGCCCUGGUUGGCUUUAUCUACCGUGUAGCCUGUGCUGGUCCCCAUGACAUAAGCUUCUUUUGCUGUGAGACAGGAAAUCUCUUUCUAGGCUCCUGGGGAGAUGAGAUUUUUCAGGUCAAAGUCUCAGAGUCAUUCACACAAUCCAGGAAUCUCUUCCCAAACUCCAUACUCCUAUGCUCGGCCCUCCAAGGCAGUGAUUCUCGAAGUAGGAACCACUUCAAGACCAGCAGCUCAGCACUACCAGGGAUCUUAUUAGAAAUGCAAAUUCUGCCAGGUGCGAUAGCUCACACCAGUAAUCCCAGCACUUCGGGAGGCCGAGGGGGCAGAUCACUUGAGGUCAGGAGUUUGAAACCAGCCUGGCCAACAUGGUGAAAUCCUGUCUCUACGAAAAGUACAAAAAUUAGCUGGGCAUGAUGGCGCAUACCUGGAGUCCCAGCUACUCAGGAGGCUGAGGCAGGAGAAUCGCUUCAACCCAGGAAGCGGAGGUUGCAGUGAGCUGAGGUUGCACCACUGCACUCCAGCCAGGACGACAGAGCAAGAC